UAAUAAAAAAAGGAAAACACUUUAGAAUUUGCUUUGCUUUAUUUGCUUUGCACUUGAGAUAGUAUUUUUUUCCACUCUCCCGUUGAUCAAUUUUUUGGGUUUUUUUUUGGUUUGUUUUGCGUUACGCGUUCGCGAUCAUACGUUUUUCGCGCUCAGCUGUUUUGUGUUUACGUUACUCGCUCUUGGCUCUCGUUGCUCUCUCUCCCGCUACAUCACUCUUUCUCAAACUCAAGGUUCUCUUAGCAAAAAGAGCGCGAGUGCAGAGCACGCGACAUUUGCUGUCAUAUUUUAGCCCGACGUUGUUGUUUUUGGUAUUUUUUGUUCACUUUUGACAUUUUUGCAUACGAAAAUUUUCCGCUUUCAGGUAGAUUUACCAUAGCGCCGAUCUUCUAACUUUAAAGUACUAAAUUUUAAGCCGCACACUCGCAAACUUACUCACUAACACGCGCGUAUAUGUACGUAGCGGCUAAAAGUAAGGUAAAAUAGUCAAGGGCACACACCUGCCCUUGGGAGUAACGGAGAAAGAAGCAUACAGACGAACGGCCUUACAAACGGGAGCAACAAGAUAGGAAGAUGUCUGGGAAAAUCCGAAAAUGCUACCUCCUAUUUAAUGAGAUUUACCUUAACAAUCCAAACCCUUAUUUGGCCAAUGAUAAGAAAUCAGUUUGUAACUAUAUUUUAGCUCUACAACUAAAUAUAUUUAAAUUGAAAUGAUAGGAAAAAUUUAUAAUAGAUGUGGAACGACAUUUAUGAAAAUUAA